UACGUAGGGGGCUAGCGUUGUCCGGAAUCAUUGGGCGUAAAGCGCGUGUAGGCGGUCCGGUAAGUCCGCUGUGAAAGUCGGGGGCUCAACCCUCGGAUGCCGGUGGAUACUGUCGGGCUUGAGUACGGAAGAGGCGAGUGGAAUUCCUGGUGUAGCGGUGAAAUGCGCAGAUAUCAGGAGGAACACCAAUUGCGAAGGCAGCUUGCUGGGACGUUACUGACGCUAAGGCGCGAAAGCGUGGGGAGCGAACAGG
rnacentral:rRNA from 1 species